GUUUUAUGUUUGUUUGCUUCAUUACUCAUUACUUUAAUUUCUUUCUCAUUUAAUUAAAUUUCGUAAUGAAAUAAACUAAAAUACUAGCAAACUACUCUAUACUGUCAUGUGAGACCUGCGAUCAAUAGCCUUAAGAAUCCAAAAUGAGACCGAACCCAUGAUGAUCCUAACUGCCUCGGCCCAAAAGAAAUAAACAUGUUAAAGUACAAAAUAGAUCCUAUAUCCCCAAAAUCGGCGCCAGUGUCAGCGACCCUAUCAUACUCCCACCCUGGAGUGACCCUGUCAGCUGUGAACCCAGUGGCUUAUGGAAAUAUAUCCCCUGAACACUUGGUGGAGUCAAAAGCUGGAUAUCUGUUGAUGAAACAUCAAACUAACAAGAGUGAUCUGUAAUACAAUCACUUUAUUAAA